rnacentral:rRNA from 1 species
AGCAGCCGCGGUAAUACGAAGGGGGCUAGCGUUGUUCGGAAUCACUGGGCGUAAAGCGUAUGUAGGCGGAUCAAAAAGUUAGAUGUGAAAUCCCUGGGCUCAACCCAGGAACUGCAUUUAAAACUAGUGAUCUAGAAUUUGGUAGGGGUUAGUAGAAUUUCCAGUGUAGAGGUGAAAUUCGUAGAUAUUGGAAAGAAUACCAGUGGCGAAGGCGACUAACUGGGCCAUUUUUGACGCUGAGAUACGAAAGCGUGGGUAGCAAACAGGAUUAGAUACCCUGGUAGUCCACGCAGUAAACGAUGAGUGCUAGUCGCUGGGACAAUAGUUUCAGUGUCGAAGCUAACGCAUUAAGCACUCCGCCUGGGAAGUACGGUCACAAGAUUAAAACUCAAAUAAAUUGACGGGGGCCCGCACAAGCGGUGGAGCAUGUGGUUUAAUUCGAAGCAACGCGAAGAACCUUACCAGACCUUGACAUGGUGUGUUUGAAUUACAGAAUCCUAAUUCUUCAGUUCGGCUGGCACACACACAGGUGCUGCAUGGCUGUCGUCAGCUCGUGUCGUGAGAUGUUGGGUUAAGUCCCGCAACGAGCGCAACCCUCAUUUUUAGUUGCCAUCAGGUUAUGCUGGGCACUCUAAAAAAACUGCCGGUGAUAAGCUGGAGGAAGGCGGGGAUGACGUCAAGUCCUCAUGGCCCUUACGGUCUGGGCUACACACGUGCUACAAUGGUGGUGACAGUGGGCAGCAAUACUGCAAAGUAAAGCUAAUCCCAAAAAACCAUCUCAGUUCGGAUUGGACUCUGCAACUCGAGUCCAUGAAGUUGGAAUCGCUAGUAAUCGUAGAUCAGCGUGCUACGGUGAAUACGUUCUCGGGCCUUGUACACACCGCCCGUCACGCCAUGGGAGUUGGUUUUACCUUAAGCCGGUGCGCUAACCGUAAGGAGGCAGCCGUCCACGGUAGGGUCAGCGACUGGGGCGAAGUCGUAACAAGGUAACCG